GUCGAACGAUGAUGCCCAGCUUGCUGGGCGGAUUAGUGGCGAACGGGUGAGUAAUACGUGAGUAACCUGCCCUUGACUCUGGGAUAAGCCUGGGAAACUGGGUCUAAUACUGGAUACUACCUCUUACCGCAUGGUGGGUGGUGGAAAGGGUUUUACUGGUUUUGGAUGGGCUCACGGCCUAUCAGCUUGUUGGUGGGGUAAUGGCUCACCAAGGCGACGACGGGUAGCCGGCCUGAGAGGGUGACCGGCCACACUGGGACUGAGACACGGCCCAGACUCCUACGGGAGGCAGCAGUGGGGAAUAUUGCACAAUGGGCGGAAGCCUGAUGCAGCGACGCCGCGUGAGGGAUGACGGCCUUCGGGUUGUAAACCUCUUUCAGUAGGGAAGAAGCGAGAGUGACGGUACCUGCAGAAGAAGCGCCGGCUAACUACGUGCCAGCAGCCGCGGUAAUACGUAGGGCGCAAGCGUUGUCCGGAAUUAUUGGGCGUAAAGAGCUCGUAGGCGGUUUGUCGCGUCUGCUGUGAAAGCCCGGGGCUCAACCCCGGGUCUGCAGUGGGUACGGGCAGACUAGAGUGCAGUAGGGGAGACUGGAAUUCCUGGUGUAGCGGUGAAAUGCGCAGAUAUCAGGAGGAACACCGAUGGCGAAGGCAGGUCUCUGGGCUGUUACUGACGCUGAGGAGCGAAAGCAUGGGGAGCGAACAGGAUUAGAUACCCUGGUAGUCCAUGCCGUAAACGUUGGGCACUAGGUGUGGGGGACAUUCCACGU
rnacentral:rRNA from 1 species